GAAGCCCUUCGGGGUGGAUUAGUGGCGAACGGGUGAGUAACACGUGGGCAAUCUGCCCUUCACUCUGGGACAAGCCCUGGAAACGGGGUCUAAUACCGGAUAACACUUCCUGCCGCAUGGUGGGGGGUUAAAAGCUCCGGCGGUGAAGGAUGAGCCCGCGGCCUAUCAGCUUGUUGGUGGGGUGAUGGCCUACCAAGGCGACGACGGGUAGCCGGCCUGAGAGGGCGACCGGCCACACUGGGACUGAGACACGGCCCAGACUCCUACGGGAGGCAGCAGUGGGGAAUAUUGCACAAUGGGCGAAAGCCUGAUGCAGCGACGCCGCGUGAGGGAUGACGGCCUUCGGGUUGUAAACCUCUUUCAGCAGGGAAGAAGCGAAAGUGACGGUACCUGCAGAAGAAGCGCCGGCUAAC
rnacentral:rRNA from 1 species